rnacentral:rRNA from 1 species
AUUGAACGCUGGCGGCAGGCCUAAUACAUGCAAGUAGGACGCAGUUGCGAACGGGUGAGUAACGCGUAGGUAACUACCUAUUAGAGGGGGAUAACUAUUGGAAACGAUAGCUAAUACCGCAUACUAGUAGAUGGACCUGCGUUGUAUUAGGUAGUAGGUAGGGUAAUGGCCUACCUAGGCAACGAUACAUAGCCGACCUGAGAGGGUGAACGGGCAAACUGGGACUGGAACACGGCCCAGACUCCCACGGGAGGCAGCCGUAGGGAAUCUUCGGCCAUGGGGGGAACCCUGACCGAGCAACGCCGCGGGAUUUAAGAAGGUUUUCGGAUCGUAAAGCUCUGUUGUGAAGGAAGCGGUACUUAACCAGAAAGGGACGGCUAACUACGUGCCAGCAGCCGCGGUAAUAC